UACGGGGGGGGCAAGCGUUGUUCGGAAUUACUGGGCGUAAAGGGUUCGUAGGUGGCUCGCUAAGUCAGACGUGAAAUCCCUCAGCUUAACUGGGGAACUGCGUCUGAGACUGGCAAGCUCGAGUGCAGGAGAGGAACGCGGAAUUCCAGGUGUAGCGGUGAAAUGCGUAGAUAUCUGGAGGAACACCGGUGGCGAAGGCGGCGUUCUGGACUGCAACUGACACUGAUGAACGAAAGCCAGGGGAGCGAACGGG
rnacentral:rRNA from 1 species